ensembl:lncRNA novel transcript
UUCACCUUCCACCGUGAUUGUGAGGCCUCCACAGCCACAUGGAACUGACCUGUUCUGAAUGGUGCUGAAGCCCCAUGUGACAGAGUCCAUGCCCAUCAGGAGGCUGACCUUCAGGACAAGAGAGGAUGCAUUCUUAACCACAGCUGUCAAUGGCAGCCUGAUUCUUUCACGCUGAAAACCGGAUCACUGCAUCUUAUAGCAAUCGACAUUCCCAGCACAUGACCAUUCAGUCAACAACUUUUAACUGAGCAUCUACUAGGUACCAGGCCUCUGUGCUAGGCGCUGGGGGGCACAACAGGUAGCAUCCUCUUUCUCAACACAGUCUAAUGGCCAAAAAAGCACUCCGCAAUAUAGAAGGCAGAAGAGGCCGGGGACGGUGGCUCAC